CCAUGAUCCCACUUUCAAGUAGUUUCCUAAUUUCUCUCUCAUUGUGGAUAAUCCAAAACAAUACUACUAGGACUCUUGCUCCAUAAAGUUUCAUGGUUCAGUAUUUUUCUUCUUAACGCAAAGAAGCCUCAAAGGCCAUUAAUUGAUCUUAAGUGCAGUAGAGAAAAGAGAAGAUUCGGCGAACAAAUUGCUUCUUUAUGAAGAAGAAGGAUCAAAUUUGUAUGAGAAGCAAGCUUGAAGGAUGAGAAAUUCAUAGGUGAAGGACUGGGGUAUUUGAGUGAAUGGGGAUUAUUUUGACCUUUACAUGGACAAAUUUAGAACUUAAGCUUUUUAUGCUAUAUUUUAAGGUUGUGAAAUUUAUAUUUUGGUACUUUACCCAAAUGAUGUGAUUGUUUUGUUCCUUUAAUGAUGGUUGUUAUUCUUUAAGCAAUGGAUGAUUGUCUUAAUCAAUGUUGGAAUUAGCUAAGUACAUCUAGAGCUUGUGAAGUAGAGUUUUGCAUAAAAGGCUAUAUGAGAUCAGAUCAUAGUUACAGAACCAUAUGUAUAUAUAUUUAUAUAUAUCAUGUUUUUUCAAGCUUAAUCAACAUAUACGACAGCAAUCGGACAUAAACAAAAAUAAUUUCCAACUAUUCAUAAGCUCGUCCAACAUUUCAACUAAUUAACAGCAUAACCAAUAAAACAUAAAUAUUACAAAGUUCAGUGACUUCAAUCAAAACAUAGGGUAGACAGUCUUAACAUUCACAUAUAUAAACAUAAAAAAAUAAAAAAUAAAUAAAAAAAACAACUAACACACAGGAAUUCGUGCCUCUCUAUCUAUGUCAUCUAAUGCUUGUUCAUUCACUUUUUCCCUCUCUAAUCUUCUACGACAAUAGUGGAAUUCGUGCCAACACUAGUCUGGUACGGGUUUCAUAAUUUAAAAUUUAAAGUUUUGGUUAACAUUAUAGGUGAAGCAUAUAACUUAGAUUAGGGUAGAGGCAUCAAACCUUCAUAUAUGAUAGUACUUUGUGUCUGAAGGCAGACAGGUCAUUAUAAGAUAUGUUUGUUGGAUUUAGUUACCAAAUUUUCUCAAUAAAAACUGACUCUCUUACUGAUAUCUAUUUUUCUCUCUCACUUUAUGUUUUUAUAUGCAUCGACACUCUGUUUCUAAGCUUCUAAAGGAGAAAUUCUGUGUACAUCAUUUCUGUAGGCUAACUUGUUGAUCCGAUUUAAUCAAAUUCUGUGUCCUGAUAUUGUUGAUCUGAUUUUAUCAAAUUUUUUGUUGUUCUCAGUUGGAUUUGGCAGUGAUCUAGCUCCAAGCUUCUCUCAAGUUUGCUCAUUCUGUAGGUACUUGGAUAAGCUUGAUAUGCAAACUGUGAGUGUGAGAAACCAAUAUCUGUGGGUUGAGAGUUUUGGGAGGAGAAUAAAAAUCCAUACCCACUUGUCAAUGGCCACAUUGAGUGUUUUUGAAAUAUUCUUGCAUACUAUAUCCUCUUUUCUGUGCAGUUACUUUGAGCAUAAGUAUUUUGAGUGUUGUGAGAUUCUAUAUUGUGGGUUGGGUGUAGUGAGCUUUUAUAAUGUUUGUUGGUGCUAUGUUCUGGAUGAUAUUGUAGCAUCCUUUCCUGUAUAUAGUAGAUGUUCAUACUACCUGUUUUGAUAGGCUUUACUAAAUAAAUGAAGCAUGGGGUUAGGCAAAGUGGCUGCUGGAAAGUGUGGUAGCCAAAGAACAGACCAAAGUGCCACCAUUCCAGAAAAGCAAAUCAGCAAUAACAGACUCCAUCAGCAAUACCUCAAACCAUUUUGUAGUCCAGAUAAUACUAUUUUAUAACUUGUUGACAUGAAAUUAUUACAUCAAGCGAUGUAUUAUAAUAAUGUCAAAAUUUAUUUUGCCAUAACUAACCUAAUACAAGAGUGUUUUUAAAUCUUAUCUGGCUAAUAUAGGCCCUAAAACAAAUAUAACAAGCCUGAUGCUCUAAUACUUAUAAAAUUUAAGGUAAAUUUCUCACUAUGAUACCUAAAGAAAAAAACACAAACACACAAAGACUUCAUGGAAUUAUCAAAUUCUAUUACAGUUAAAUGACAUAUCAGCACAGGUAGACAGGGCAGAACUAGAUCAAACCUCCAAACCAGAUCACUGUAGCACAGAGCAGAUCAGCACAGGCUCUAGUAAAUAUCAGCAAUAAUAGGCUCAAGUGAAAACAUAAGCAAAAGAUCAGCCCAGGUAGUCACAGAUACAGAACAGACAGAGCCAUAAUACAGCAGCAACAACAAAGUCCUGAUCUGCCUUAGAUUGAAAUAAAUCACCAAGACAUUGCAGAGUAUAUACCAGACCACUGAGGGGUGGUGCUGCCCUCCAAGGACAAAGUUGCUCCUACUAACCCAUACACGUAACAUCAACAGAGGCACGACAACAUUACACACAAUACCAGUAGGCCACAUUAAGCAGCAGGGGCACAGCAGAUCUACACCAUCAUGUAUUUUAAUCUAUCCUUCGAAACCAGCUAAGUGCAAAACUGUGCAUUUGGAGAAGCAUGAUUAUUCCAAAUAAGGAGAGGUAAGGCUAAAUCUGGACCCCAAAGUGAUCCGCACCAGUUGAACAUUGAUUUGACUUUAAAAAUCCUAGAGUUAUCAGCUUUCUAACUAAGUGAGUCCUCUGCUCCAGGAAGCAACACUGGGCCUGAUCCCAACAUACUAUCCUCUGCUGGAAUCAUCAAAAUUUGGAACCAUGGUAACAGGGUGUAUGGCUGCUAGAAGCGUCGUUGGAGUGAAGAAAGUUAUUUUUACUUGAUAUGUAUAUAUAUGUUUAGAACUUGUGUCAACCUUUCUAGUAUCUUUUUGAGCCUACCCUUGCGGGAUGUGCAAGGGAUGUUAUUUUCUAUGAGGACUGUUAUUGCUGGUAUGGAUGUUCAUGGUCCACAUAUUUCUUCUAUGGGGCCCGUGAACAUUUCAACGUUUUUUAAUCAGUAUCUACCCUAUCUGUUAAGGGUGCUGUGUGUUGCAUUGAGUUUAUACCGGUGAAUAUCUUGUUGGAUAGAUGGUAGAUUUGGUAUAUGUUCCAGGCCCUUCUGCAAAUCUUUUGGAUGGGUCUACCAUGUUGCAGUCCAUUUUUCUUUGGUUUUCUAAUGUAUAGUCUUGGGUAGGCCCUGGAGC